AGCUGGCACUGUGCUAUGGUUUUAGUACUUGCAUUAUUUGCAAUGCGCAGCUUCCAGUCAUGAAAUGACAAACCCUGAGCAUUCAGUUGUGGACUCUGUCGCCCCUUCCCAAAGUUUCUUUAAAAAGAUGGAAUGAUGAAAGAUGAUGGAAAAACUGGAAGAUGAUGAAAGAACUGAAAAGAAGGAAGUUCUUCACAUGCAUCAACAAGCUAUUAAAAGGAGGAUGUGAUUUGGCCAUCUGAGGAUCUCUCAUCUGGCUUUGUCAAGCUUUCAGCUGGAUCUGAAGGCUGCAUCCUGUUCCAGCUGUAUCUGCACAAGAAAGGUAUCUUCUGUUUUAUCAUGGCUGAAAAAACUAAAGUGAAUGCUGGUGCUUUACAGUGCUGAGGCUGCUGCAGGAGGACAUCAGUGGGGAAAUUUGCCUGUGGAUUUUCAAGAAGGCUGAAGAUGAGCAGUGCUGGUAAACCUGAGCCAUCGGCUGACUCCUCAUUCCAGAAAAGUGUUCCAAGUUCAUCAUUGCUCCUCAGGAAGGGGAUGGCUCCUCAUACUCCAGUAAUACAAAGCGGUUUCUGAUUUGUGAGAGAAGAUGGGAACUGGGAAACAAGGAAUUUGACAGUGCUUCUGCCAAGCUGUUGAAACAAUGCUGCAACACCCCAGUCAGGACCGAAUGCUGAGAGAGCAACAGAGAAAUGAGAUUACCAUGAAACUGAGAGAACAGUGAUCUACAUCUUGCCACAGGCUCCCUGAUCCAGGAGUACCGGAUAUUGGCUGAUAGCUGAGGCAAGACAGCGCAUCCGUGGUGCAAAGCUCUGGAGAGGCGUUUCACGGCGAAACACCAUGAGCAUUGACCUCAGAUCCAGCUUUCUGCUCCGCAGGCCGAGUGCUCUGGAACUCCGGUUUGCCUGCUCCCAGGAGAGGGCAGUGGAGCCGCACACGCUCCGUGCUGCGGCCGACGGGCCGGUCUGUCCCCGUGGGGCUGCACGAGGAAUGCAUCCUAAGACAACAAGGAGCCUUGGCUGAAAACAGCAGAGUGUGGUUUUAAGCUCCGCUCCUGUCUUGCCUGGGUUCUGCAGCGACUGGAGAAGCACCGAAACUGGAACAUCACCAAAGGCACUGAGCAACUGAGCCAGCCUUUCUCAGCUGGGCACAAGGUGCUGCAGGAAUGGAGCGGAGCCUGGGAGGCAGAUGACAGCAUUUGAGACCAUCACAGAGGUAAGUCCGCGCUCCAUAGAGGUACCUGAGCAGAUGCUGUAAUGGACUUAAACCCGCAAAUACUGCGAUCUGCAGUUAGAAAUACAAGGCGGAAAUUGGUUUAGCCAUUCAGUGUGUGCUUUGGCUUGUUGCUCUGGAGGAGGAGUGUGCUUUUGUGGCAUGUUGUACGUGGCUGCGUCGUACUGCUGCUCGGGCUGUUGAUGUUUUCUAUUCCUGUGUGCCUCUGACAAGGGGCCUUGCAUGCUACAGAUCAUAUGGGAGAGUUGUUUUCCUGAAAGUGGGAAUAAACAGUCAGAUGAAAUAUUCCCAAGUAAUGAGAUUAGCGGCAAGAAUGUAACAUGGGAUGUGGCUUUCAACAAUAAUUACAUCUGACACCCUCAUCAGCAAGGAGAUGUAGGGGCUGCGAGCUCUGAGCUUGGGAACAGCGUAUGAAAGACUGGCUUCUCUUGGGAAGGGAGGCACGGGGGAGGUUAUUUUUAGCACUCGGGAAAAAAGCAAG